AUUGAACGCUGGCGGAAUGCUUUACACAUGCAAGUCGAACGGUAGAGGGGGCAACCCCUCGAGAGUGGCGAACGGGUGAGUAAUAUAUCGGAACGUGCCCAGUCGUGGGGGAUAACGUAGCGAAAGUUACGCUAAUACCGCAUACGAUCUAAGGAUGAAAGCGGGGGAUCGCAAGACCUCGCGCGAUUGGAGCGGCCGAUAUCAGAUUAGGUAGUUGGUGGGGUAAAGGAGCACCAAGCCAACGAUCUGUAGCUGGUCUGAGAGGACGACCAGCCACACUGGAACUGAGACGCGGUCCAGCCUCCGACGGGCGGCAGCAGGGGGGAAUUUUGGACAAGGGACGCAAGUCUGAUCCAGCCAUUCCGCGUUCAGGAUGAAGGCCCUCGGGUUGUAAACUGCUUUUGUACGGAACGAAAAGGUCUCUCUUAAUAUGGGGGACUCAUGACGGUACCGUAAGAAUAAGCACCGGCUAACUACGUGCCAGCCGCCGCGGUAA
rnacentral:rRNA from 1 species